rnacentral:rRNA from 1 species
CCUACGGGAGGCAGCAGUGGGGAAUAUUGGACAAUGGGGGCAACCCUGAUCCAGCCAUGCCGCGUGUGUGAAGAAGGCCCUCGGGUUGUAAAGCACUUUCAGUGAGGAAGAACGCCUGGUGGUUAAUACCCAUCAGGAAAGACAUCACUCACAGAAGAAGCACCGGCUAACUCCGUGCCAACAGCCGCGGUAAUACGGAGGGUGCGAGCGUUAAUCGGAAUUACUGGGCGUAAAGCGCGCGUAGGUGGCUUGAUAAGCCGGUUGUGAAAGCCCCGGGCUCAACCUGGGAACGGCAUCCGGAACUGUCAAGCUAGAGUGCAGGAGAGGAAGGUAGAAUUCCCGGUGUAGCGGUGAAAUGCGUAGAGAUCGGGAGGAAUACCAGUGGCGAAGGCGGCCUUCUGGACUGACACUGACACUGAGGUGCGAAAGCGUGGGUAGCAAACAGGAUUAGAUACCCCUGUAGUC